CACCGGACAGGGCGACUGCAGGAAGACUGUAACCUUCUCGUCCUCCAACAUGAGUUGCAGGAAGAGCCUGCGGAUGAAGCCGGAGAUGUUGCCAGAGAUGGGCACGUUUCCACGCUGGGGGGCCGACUGGAAGAGCUCACACAGCACCUACGGAGGGAGAGAAACCACCAUAAACACAAGUUAGUAAAACCAUCACAGAUACCGUUGGUCAGGUGGAAAUGUGUGUGGUCAAGGCAUUCCACCAGACCUGUGCCAUGAGCCGCUGGUUGUUGGGGUGGCAGGAGAUGCACUGCAGGAAGAAGGCCACUGUGGCGUUCUCGAUGGCUGUCCUCUGCUGGGUGGUGAGCCCGCUGCCCCGGGACGAGGAGGCUAGAGAGUAGCGCGACCCAGAGGGCAGGGGUGGGGGCGGAGGAGGGGGGCAGCACGCACCACCGGAGGCAGCAGAGUGGGCUCCCGUGUGCCCCUGGCCACCACUGGCUCCCCCUGCGCUAGCGCUGGAGUGGCACAGCAGGAACAGCAGAGCAGUCCACAGAGAGUUCACCUCAGGCCCACCCAGCCAGUCCUUCAUGGCAUGACUGUUCCCCACCUCUGUGAGGAAACGCAGCACUGGGGCUGCCAGCUCUGCAGACAGGGGCACCCUGCUCUGAGAGGAAGCGGAGGAUGAAGAAGAGGAGGAGCAGUGGGGGUGGUGGUUGUGAUGGUGUUGCCGUCGUUCAGCCUGGGCGGUGGCGGGCAGGGGCAGGUCAGCGGCAGCCAGGAGGCCACAGCAGAGUCCGGCCAGGCUGAAGCCAGAGUGGCCAGUUCCGACUCGGACAGUGCGAUGGGUGGACGCGCGUGCUUGGAGUCGUCGGUGAGGCCGGUGGCAGCGGCGCUGGUGGUGGCGUUAGCAUUGGCGCUGCUGAGGUCAUGCUGCUUCUUUCCGUCGUCCGUCAUGGAGAGGCGGUGCUGGGCCUGAGAUUGGGCGGCGGUUGGCGGGGCCACGAUGCCCAUCCAGGACAUGAGCAGAGAGAAGUAGCUGGGGUGGAUGUGGCACAUGGAGCAGAGCAGGCUGUCUACUGCCUUCUUCAGCACCAUGUUACACAGCAGGGACAUGGACCAGUUGUACAGAAGU
rnacentral:lncRNA from 1 species